rnacentral:lncRNA from 1 species
GAGAGAGAGAGAAUAUGAAUGAGAAUAUUAGAAGAGGCUUGUCUCCAAGAUAUGGAAGGAAGUGAGAAAUGACAGGGCUGCAAGCUUUGUAUAGAGGAGCAUGGCGGGGUGGGGGAGCAGCUCUGAGAGCCAAGUGGAUUCUCAGAAAAGAGGGGAAGCCAUAGAAGAGCUAAAGGUGAUUAGAGGGGGAUAUUGAUUCCUUAUUCUGCCAGAGAUUUAAGCAGGCAUGCAAGGAAUCUGUACCACGGUGGGCAAAGGGAGACCCCUUACCUCCUGUAACCAGACACUCGGGCUUUCCAGGAGCCUAGGGAGAGAGCCGAGAAGAAAGGGGGCAGUGUGGUCUAGGAAAAUUCAACUUGUCGCUGAUUUGUGCCUGAUGCUUGCUGUCCGUCAGCAGCCUCCCUUACAAUCUUUUUCCUCUCUCUUCUUUUUUUUUUUCCCUUGCCUUCUCCUUCUUCACUGAAGCCUAGGGGAGCCAGUAAAGAUUAAAUGUGCUUUCUAAAGGCAGCCACUUCAUGCUGCUAUGUUGAAAGGGCCAGUGUUAUUAUUAUUAUUUUUAAUAGUAAAAGAAAAGGAGGGGGAGAGACAGAGAGGGAGGGGGGAGGGAGAGAGAGGGAGAGGGGCUAGGUAUGAUCAUGACGGACUGGCUUCUCUGAGAGGAAAAGGAAGAGGGAAAGGAAAGAAAAAGGAAGGACCCUAAGCUGAACGAAGGAUUGUGCAUGAGAAGAACCUACAGAGCUGGUCCUAUAGCACCCUGUUCAGGAAUGUCUCCCCAGUGAAAGGACAGAGACUACAGAGACUGCUAUGUUGAUCAACCCUCAUGCCAACUGUGAAGUUGAAACAAAGAAAGUGACAACCUGAAGAUAUCUCUCCUGUCCAGCAACAAACCCAAAAGGUGCAGUUUCAACCAUUAAAAUUCUCAGAAAAAGAGGCAAUUGUUCCAAGAAACAUAAAAACCCAGUAAUGACACCUAGAUCUCUAACAAGCCAAGAAGAACAUUCCCUUCCUUCUGUGUAUUCCUCUGUUUGUAUUUAAAUUCAUGUGACAUUAAUUUUUUUCCUAGUAUGGAGAAACUUCUUAAUGUACACAUUUUAAAAUCUAAAUUUACACAAAUGUGUUAAUAUGUUAAGGAACAAAAUUGGUGCUAUGAGGAGAAUGAUUUUUAGUCAUACACAGAGUUUAUUCUUAAGAGUAGCAUAGAGAAUUGAAGUACUUUUGAAAUGACAAAGUAGUCACUGGUAAUUUAAAGGAUAAAAGAAUGGGAGAAACUCAUGCUGGAGCUUCAAAAUACCACAUUAUUCCACCUUAUACCAGCCAGUAAACCAUUACCUUUAUCAAGCAAGCUCAGUUCUGUGAGAUAUGAUUAUUGCUUCUAAGAACUUUAAUCUAGAUAGAUAUGUAACUUUUUACAUAAACUUUUGAAAAGGUAAGUAACGGGUAGGUUCAGUAGAUAACAACAAAAAGCAAUGUAAAUGAUGAACUCAAAAGAGGUCUCAAUAAGGUGGGCAAAACUAACUUUCUUAGUGAAGGAAGUUUCCAAAAUAGGAAAGUAGGAGAUUAUUCUUGAAGGAUGUCAAAAAUAUAGAUGGUAUAAAGGUAGAAGAAAACAGAGUCCACUAGGUACACAAUAUUGUAAGCAAAACCUUGGAGAAGGAAAUCCACAUGGUAAAUUUAGGAGAGGAUGAAUGCACGUGUUGAUUUCACGUAACUCUAGGCACGCAGUACCUCUGUGUACUGGGAAAAACUUUGCACACAUACACCUCCCCUUUCAAUCCCCUCCUGCCUCCACCAAGUUUCACCUAGAAUUGUAUUUCUUUGCCAUUGUAGCACAAGAAGGUGAUUGGUGGUAAUAUGGAGAACUUGUGACUUUUCUGUUGAUAAUAAUUACUAUAUAUUGACUUCUCACUCUAUAUUAAGCAUUUUGCAGACUAACUCAAGCCUCAAGAUGAGGAUGCAAAUUAGAUAUUAUUAUCCUCAUUUUAUAGGUAAUAAAACUGAAGUUUAAUAAAAUUAUGUAACUUGACAAAAUGCCACAUAUGCUGUUCAUAUUUAGGAUUACGAUGACAAAGUUCAUGAUUUAAAGCACUAUCUCACAAUAUUGUGAUCAAUGUCAACAAUAUUGCCCUUUUUCUAUAUUCUUUGAUUGUCUAUGGCAAAUUAUUAUUAAUAUUAUUAAAUUAUCACCUAAAUCUUAUUAUUUUUCUGGAUAAAUUACAUUAGAGUGCUAGAAUGUAUUUUCAUUUAAAAAAGGAAAAAUUUGAGAAGUCGAGCUUUUCAGCACUUUAGACCUUUCUUUUCUGUUUUUGGCAAGACUUUGGUGAGACUUUCUACUUUGUUCUGCAAGAAAUCUCAAAUCUUUGAGAAUAAAAAUGGAAAAGUGUUUAUGUCACACAUUGCAAUGUCCUUUUUUACAGACAAGAUGAAUCUAUAGCCCAUAAACUUGGAGUGACUUACAGAAGUUCACAUUUGGCCCUUGCAGUAGACCAAAGACUAGAAAUAAGUCCCUUCAGUUUGGUCCACUCUCAGUGCCACUUGAACUAUGCCGCUCUGCAUAAAUGAAGCAUGAACUUGAAUUUGAUUAAAGGAAACAAUACAUCUAGGUAAUCAGGGAACAAUGUACAUAGUAGAUUGCUUCAAUUUUGUAUUUCUUUGCCAACUCACUUCAAUGUGAAGAACAGCUAGCCAUGAACUAGGAGCUUUAAACCCAUAAAUUGUCAAUCCAUCCCCCAGAAAACACAAAAUGACCAAAGUUUGUGUUUUCAAUAUUGUGUACAAUAUCUUCAAUAAUAUCAAGUUAUUUGGAAUUCUUAGUUUACUGGCACAAAUCAAAUCUUAACCAACUUUGUGCAGAGUAUACAUUUGUAAGUGGAUCUGCAUGAAUGCUUAUAGAUGACCAUUUCAAUAGUGCACUUUUAAAAAUAUCAAAUCAUUUGCUCUUAUAAUCUUCAUUUAUCCACGUAACUAAAGAAUACUUUGGCUAUGAAAAGAUAGACUUGAGAAAUCUCACUCUUCUUUACCAGCAAGUUUGCCUUUGGGCGGUGUUUAAUAAUGACUCAGAGCAUUAUUACUGCAUAGCAUAGAGAUUCAAAAUGCAAUUCUGUUUUAGAGGAACCAAUCAAGCUGGAUCUAUUUGAGGAUAGACAUCUUCAUGUUUGGAAAUACCAGAAUAUUUGGUCAUUGUAAAUGUCCACUUAGAUAUGUGGCAUUGUCACAUUUAGUUCUUUUUCCUUGUGGUGGUUAUUAUCCUGUUUACAAAAUGAUUGUUGAUCAUAUAUCAUGCCAUUCUCAUUGAGUUUAUAAAUAAAACGUUUUUUUUUAAAGGUAGUCAAGCUCAAAAUGUGACUUUGCUGACAUUUUAUGAGACUCUGUCAUAUGUCCCUAACUACCAAUAAAAAAAAAAUGCUAUAUCAACUGUGAACUUGUGUUGAUUUCUUGGGAAAAAAUGCUCUCAUAAUUUAUUUUCUUAUGUUCAUAUAUAUAUAAAUAUAUAUAUAUAUAUUUAUAUAUAUAUAUAUAUAAUUUCAGGAUCCACAAGGAGGAAAUAAUCUAAUGUGCUAAGAAAAAUUAAAUUUAGUGACAAUUUCUAAAUGAUCCCAUGUUAUCUUUAAAUAAAUAGCACUCUCAACUACCAUCUACUUAGGACAGAAAUCAAGGUGUGGUCCUUGUCUCUUCCCUUUCCACUUGCCAUGGGAGAUCAUUCAGAUAAUUCUUUUGAUAUUUUCUUCUUUCUGUUAUUCAAAUAUGUCUACUUCUUUCCAUCAUCUGUUAUAGUAAAGAUAAUGCUCAUUUCUCCCCUGGCUUGCUAUGUUUGGCCUCUAGCCACAAAUAUCACUCUGUGGUUUCAAAUUCUCCACUGCUUCCCAUUACCCUGGAGAUACCAUGAUAGAUAAAGCCAUUUAUGUCCUAAAUCCUAGACCCAGCAGUCUGCUCAUCAAUCUUCAUUCUCAUUUUUUGGUAGGUACAAACCAUCUAUCUUUGCCUUUCCCUAGCAUUCCCUGUAUAUUCUCAGCUUUCCCAUACAUAUAACCUUCUGUCUAGUACUCUCUCCAGUAGUUCCAGACUAUAUUCACAUGUCUCUCAGCCUCAUCCCAGCAUCCAUUUCCUCUUGAAAUUCUCCCCCAACUCUCUAGAAUUACCUUCUGCAUUGUAGAUGAAUCAUGAAAUUGUGUGCAUACCUCUUCAUAGGACUUACCACCAAUACAGUGAUGACUUCUGCACUGGUCUCCUCUAUUUGAAUAUGAGAUUCUAGGGUCACACUGUUUAACCUCAUAAUCACUCUCCAUAUGUGGCAAUUUCAAUUUCAAUUAAUUAGUAUUACAUAAAAUUAAUUCAGAGCUGGGUAUGGUGGUUCACACCUGUAAUUCAAGUGGCCCAGUAGGCUGAGGCAGGAGGAUUGCAAAUUUGAGGCCAGCCUGGGCAAUUUAGCAAGAUCCUACCUAAAAGAAAAAGGCCCUGGGUUCAAUUUCCAGUCACACACACACAGACACACACACACACACACCAUUUCUCAGUUGCACCAACACACUUCAAGAGCUCAGUAGCCAUGUAAAACUAGAAGCUAUCCCACAACAGCAUAGAUGCAAAACACUCUUAUGGAUACAGUUCUGUUGCAUGGUGCUGUUCUAGAAAAUAUAUUCUAUAUUUUGUCAGUCAUUUCAUCCAGAAGAUUUUAAACUCAGUUUGUCAUUUGGACCACAGGUUACAAAAGAUGAUUUGAAAGAUUAUUUUCUCAAUUAUCUCAAGGAUGAUAUUUAACAAAUACUAUACUAUAUGCAAAGGAAGAAGAUUAAUUCAUUGGAUGUAAAGAUAUCCAGGGCAUUAGGGUUUCAUUCUAGCGUAAAACUCUAGUUGAGAAUGUCUACAACAGCCAGUCAAAGGAUUUGGUACAAUAUAAUUAUCUGCUGAAUGAAUGAUACACAUAGAUUUAAUUUUAUCUAUUUCUAUCUAAAAGUGUGGACUCAUGUAGGACACGUGUCUUUAGAUUUCAAGGGGCCCCUUUUCUAGAAAAUAUUGUGAUAAAUGAUUUACUUUCCUCUCAAGGACAGAAGAAUGGUGUGACCGAUAGGAUUACCUAUUAUUUCACUUUCUAUUGAUAUUUACACAAGCAAGCAAUUGAAAAUAACUGAGCCCUCAUUCAGUAGAUGAGGUCAAAAUGAAAAUGAUCCCAUUAGAUACCAGAUUUGAUAAGCCCUAUUUAUUUCAAAAAAUGCCCAAAGUUUACUGAAAACAUUAAUUAUCUACUGAGCACCUAUUAUGUCCAGGCACGUUGUCAAGUCCUAGGGGUGUAGAAGGGAACAGGAAGGACACAGCUCUUAUAUUCAUAGUGAGUAGCAUUAAUAUAAUUAUUUUUGUUCUUCCUUGCCUGGUACCCAAAGCAGGAGUGCUCAUACUUGGCUACAUAUUCUAACCACCUAGGGAGUUUAAAAAAUACUCAUACUUGACUCUCUUCUGAAUAGAUUCUGAUUUAAUUGGUGUAGGGUGUGGCUGGGAAUUGGGAUUUUUAAGAGGUUCCUUUGAGAUUGGAAUGUGAAGCCAAAGUUAAAAACUGUUGACCUAUGGGGAUAUAAUCUUAAAAUGAUCUCAGAAAACUAAAAGCUUUUGUUAUUAAUAGUUGGUAGCAUAUUAGAACAAAAAGACUUUAAAAUCAUUUAACAUAUCUACAUUUUGCUUUCUAUUCCUCAGAAUAUAAACCAAUACUUAGUUGCUGAGUUGUCUAGGUCAAAUAGUUCAUUACUAAGAUGAGACCUAACCCUAGAUUUCUGAUUUUAACAUAAUACACUACUUGCUACACUAAACUGUCUGAGAGAAAUAGAAAAUAUAAUUAUCUUCAAAUUGAGUGACAGAAUCCACUAUGGUCAUAAUUUUUAAGAGUCUAAUUUGAGUUAAAUUCCAUAAACUCGUAUAUACAAGUAUUUCUGAUACUCAAAUAUAUGCACCAUAGAUUAAUUUCUCUAAAAUGCAUUUCUUUUAAAAAUGUGUAUUCAUAUGCAUAUAUGUACAUACAUAUAAAAAGACACAUAUAAUGCAUAUAUGUUACAUAUUAUAUUGUACAGAGGAUAACUCAGUUCCCCAGGAAUCCUAACAACGUUUUUAUAGAUUCAGACCUCAAUAUACAUAUGUUAAACUCCACACACAACUAGGAAGGAUAUCUUGCUUUAAACUUGAAUUCCUCAGUAACAAAAAUGGUUGUAGGAAGAGAAAGUAAGAGUGUACUGUGUGUUCGCAUUCUCUGUCCCCACCUACUUUAUUAUAUGACAUUCCAUUCAAUUUUACAUUUCACAAUACAGGUAAAAAUUCCAGUCUCUCUCCAUGAGAAAGAUUGACAUUAAAAACUGCUAUAGAAGUAGCUACCUUUUUAAGCUAUCACUUGUCCCAUUUUUAGAUUCUACACAUAGAUCAAAAGAAUCCAUGAACUAUGUGAGGCAUCUAAUCUACUCUUCAUCAGUAUAAGACACAUAGUGAAAAUGUGUCUUCUCACUUUUUGAAAAUCUCAAAAUAAAAUGAAUACCCACACACUUCCUUCAAAAUGCAUUUCACUGUUCGAGAGUCUAUACAGUUGGGAAAUUCUUAUUUCUAUUCCAAAUCCCUCAAGCUGUAGUUUAAUCCCAUUUUCUCUAGUUUCCCACAGAGAGAGAGAACAGCUGGCUUCCAUUCUUUUUAAACUCAAUCCCUUCAUAUCCUGAAAGACACCUACCUCUCAGCCUUCUUUUUGCUGGAAUGAAUCCUAAAAGUUCCCCUCAGUAAAAUGUCUCUUUUGGAUUCUGCAUAUUCAUUGCCAUAUCACAUAUAUUCAUGUUCAUUACAUAAUGUUCAUAUCAAGCCAAGGACAAGCACAAAAACAAGGAAACUCAUCAUUGUUUUCAUGAAUGAAAUUACAGAUCCAAUAAAAAAACACUUAAAAAUAGUUGGGAAUGAUAAUCUUCCAAAAUUAUCCUAAUUUCUUUUUUUUAAUCCUAAUUUCUUUUAGAAAGUAUUGACAAUUUGUUGCUUUUGGAGAGGAGAAUUAAAAAUUAAAUGACUGGGUUUCAAUUUUCUUUAUACAAACUUUCCCCAAGCCCUGCAAUGGAAUAUUCCACUCAGCAUUCCACAGCAGGAGCCACCAUUGCUCUGACAAAAAUAGAUACAGUAUUGGAACAUUAAGUCAAUGGAGUAAUCCAAUUGUCUGAACGUUCUUUUCUACUUUGUCAUUUAUAUUUUAAUAAAUCUCAGAAUAUGUCAAGCCCUAUCAAGUUUACCAAGUGCAGUGAACCACAUGCAGUUACCAGAUGCAUUGAGGGCAUCAUGCAACUCCUACAAAGCACCCACAUUUAGUUUAUAAUUGAAUAAAAAAUCAUGAUUGCUUUUUACAAAUUUGGAUCCAUCCCAAAUCCAUUGUUCUUCAAAGGCAGGAAAAGGUUGCCUCAGCAAGAAAAAUCCUUGGCAGAUCUGCACUGGCAGGCAGUUUCUGUUCAUGCAUACAGCAAAAGGCAUGGAGAGAUCAGGAGGUCUGCAGGAACUGACGUAUAAAGGAAAAGGAAGGAAACAUUUGGCCAUUUCCAUUUAUCUUGUCAUGCUGUGGUGCUUAACAGUAAGGCCCAUUAAUGCUGAUACUACACACAUGUGAUAAUUUUAAAGUAUGGAAUCUAGGACAGAAUCCAAUACCACAGCAUCUCCUGAAAAGAGAACAUUUCUAUUCAGCUUUGGAGGAUCAACAGACUCACAGACACCCUUACAAAAGACAAAACAUCUUCUCCCUUCAAUGUAUGGCAGAGCUGAAAAAUCAAGCCACCACUGGCUGCUGACCAUAACUCCAUUAUCUGGUGAAACCCAGUCUACUGGGUCCUUGAACUCACCUGGCUCCAGGUUUUCCAUGAAAAUAGCUUCAGUUCAUUCUUUAACUCAUGGAAAAACACAAUUACGGAAUGUGAUUAGAUUGCUAGAGCUACAGCAAUUGUCUUGAAUCCUAAGAUUAUCUUGAAGGUGAAAAUCAGUUCUGAAGAUGACUGAAUCAAAAGACAGAAGGAGACUAAGUUCUCAUGACUUCAUGGAACUGUCAUACUAUCCUUGGACUCCAUGAUUUUGUAACCUUUUUAUUUACAUAGGAAAGUAAAUGGUCGUUUAAAUUAUUGUCCGAGAGUGUAUUACUUGAGACAAAAUUAAAUCUCGUCAGCUAUACCAUUAUCCCCAAG